GCGGAAGUAGCUCAAUCGGUUAGAGCAUGGGGCGUCCAGCUCCGAGGUUGCUGGUUCAAGUCCAGCCUUCCGCUCCA
rnacentral:tRNA from 1 species